rnacentral:rRNA from 1 species
GACGAACGCUGGCGGCGUGCUUAACACAUGCAAGUCGAACGGAAAGGCCCUGCUUUUGUGGGGUGCUCGAGUGGCGAACGGGUGAGUAACACGUGAGUAACCUGCCCUUUACUUUGGGAUAACUUCAGGCAACUGGGGCUAAUACCGGAUAGGAGCUCCUGCUGCAUGGUGGGGGUUGGAAAGUUUCGGCGGUUGGGGAUGGACUCGCGGCUUAUCAGCUUGUUGGUGGGGUAGUGGCUUACCAAGGCUUUGACGGGUAGCCGGCCUGAGAGGGUGACCGGCCACAUUGGGACUGAGAUACGGCCCAGACUCCUACGGGAGGCAGCAGUGGGGAAUAUUGCACAAUGGGCGGAAGCCUGAUGCAGCAACGCCGCGUGCGGGAUGACGGCCUUCGGGUUGUAAACCGCUUUCGCCUGUGACGAAGCGUGAGUGACGGUAAUGGGUAAAGAAGCACCGGCUAACUACGUG